rnacentral:lncRNA from 1 species
GUUUGUGUCAAAAGAUAAGUGACAGACAAGUUAGAGGCUAGAUCUAUUAAAGCUUGCUUCAUAGGAUAUCCUAAAGAAUCAAUAGGAUACUACUUUUAUAUGUCAGAUGAUCACAAUGUGAUUAUGAGCUGGCAUGCCUCAUUUUUGAAAAAAUCAUUUAUUUAGGAUGGAGGUCGCAGGAGGCUAAUUGAACUCAAAGAAAAAGUGUC